CUGAAUUAGUUUUAUUCUCCUUCCCACCCCAAAGAAAGAAGUCAGACAACAAACAUUUAAAACAUUUUAUUCACUAGAUUUGUCACCGGCAUAUUCCAGUCAUGCUUUUACACACUAAGGUGUAUUUAAUUUGUAAUGAAUGAUGAGUGUCACUGAUGUCUAAGAGGAAGGUCAAGUACCAAUAUAUUCUUUAAAGGCCUAAGACUGUGCUUUGCUUACCAAUUUUCUGGCUGAAUUCUUUCUUACCGCUUACUCUCUUUGUGCCUAUUACUAUGUUGUGCCUGAUAGAAUUAGCUCCUUUCUUCAGUCUUUCCACCUUCCCCCAAGGCAUAACAACAAUUUAGCCUCUUAGUUUUCAGUUCCCUGCUGUACAGCGUUGGCGUGGUGUAAUAAGACUCCACUUAAAAAAAAAAGUAAAAUGACUUGCUUCUGUGGGAUCUGUAGGAGUGUUAAAACAAACAAACAAAAAAUAAAUAAAGUCGUACCCUGUAGGUCCUUCUCCACCUUUCGGAUACCGGGUCAGUGAGACGGAAAUUGAAAAUUCGUAACGCUAACCAGCCGUUUAGUGCUUAUCAGUUCCCAACAUGACAAGUAAAGGUUCGAAGACUGCUUCCCAGUAGCGUGUGUUCGGCUUGGCAGCCGUUGAAAAGGGUGUUAAUACCCAUUUUUACGCAAACACAACUUAAUACUUAAAAGUUGCGGCUUCAUGCCAUUGCCUUUUAUUGGUCACCUUCACAGAAUCAAGAGCUCUCGCGGGGAUUGCUACAGAAUUCAGGGUAGAGCUGAAAGAGGUGGGUGCGGCGCUUUCGACCUCUUCCACCCGACCCACCCUUAGCUCCCUUCUUCCCCGUUCCUGGUCUGAGAGCGCCGCCCGCACUGUGGGACCCGGCAUGGGACAGCCCUCCCGGCGCCCAGUCCCCUCACAAGCCCUGGUCCGGUCUCAAACGAGGUCGCGGUCCCUCGGCUGCCCUCCACCUCGACAGGUCGAGCUCUUUCGCCCAGGCUAACUCAGGAUUCGGCGGGUAGGCGGGCGCAGGGCCACUCGCUGUAGUGGAGAAGGUCAGGCUCACCUUGAGGCACUCGAGCCGGACGGCAGCCAGCACCGUCCCAGACUGCCUGGCGGAGUCUCCGAGGUCACCAGAGGACUCCCAGGUCACCAGCCCCAGCAUCCGCAGCCGCAGGUGGCGGGGCAGUUGGAACCUGCCCUACCCGGAAGCACGCCGACUUCCGGC
ensembl:lncRNA